CGGGUGGUAAUGCCGGAUGCUCCAGUUGAUCGCAUGGUCUUCUGGGAAAGCUUUCGCGGUAUGGGAUGGGGUCGCGUCCUAUCAGCUUGACGGCGGGGUAACGGCCCACCGUGGCUUCGACGGGUAGCCGGCCUGAGAGGGCGACCGGCCACAUUGGGACUGAGAUACGGCCCAGACUCCUACGGGAGGCAGCAGUGGGGAAUAUUGCACAAUGGGCGCAAGCCUGAUGCAGCGACGCCGCGUGAGGGAUGGAGGCCUUCGGGUUGUAAACCUCUUUUAUCGGGGAGCAAGCGAGAGUGAGUUUACCCGUUGAAUAAGCACCGGCUAACUACGUGCCAGCAGCCGCGGUAAUACGUAGGGUGCAAGCGUUAUCCGGAAUUAUUGGGCGUAAAGGGCUCGUAGGCGGUUCGUCGCGUCCGGUGUGAAAGUCCAUCGCUUAACGGUGGAUCCGCGCCGGGUACGGGCGGGCUUGAGUGCGGUAGGGGAGACUGGAAUUCCCGGUGUAACGGUGGAAUGUGUAGAUAUCGGGAAAGAA
rnacentral:rRNA from 1 species